rnacentral:rRNA from 1 species
AUUGAACGCUGGCGGCAGGCCUAACACAUGCAAGUCGAACGAGUGGCGGACGGGUGAGUAAUGUCUGGGAAACUGCCUGAUGGAGGGGGAUAACUACUGGAAACGGUAGCUAAUACCGCAUACCAUCGGAUGUGCCCAGAUGGGAUUAGCUAGUUGGUGGGGUAAAGGCUCACCAAGGCGACGAUCCCUAACUGGUCUGAGAGGAUGAUCAGCCAAACUGGGACUGAGACACGGCCCAGACUCCUACGGGAGGCAGCAGUGGGGAAUAUUGGACAAUGGGCGAAAGCCUGAUGCAGCCAUGCCGCGUGUAUGAAGAAGGCCUUCGGAUUGUAAAGUACUUUAAGUGGGGAGGCGUUACCCACAGAAUAAGCACCGGCUAACUCCGUGCCAGCAGCCGCGGUAAUUC